GACCCCAGGUCAGGCGGGACU
rnacentral:rRNA from 1 species